rnacentral:rRNA from 1 species
AGCGAACGCUGGCGGCAGGCUUAACACAUGCAAGUCGAACGGGCACUUCGGUGCUAGUGGCAGACGGGUGAGUAACACGUGGGAACGUACCUUUCGGUUCGGAAUAAUUCAGGGAAACUUGGACUAAUACCGGAUACGCCCUUUUGGGGAAAGAUUUAUCGCCGAUAGAUCGGCCCGCGUCUGAUUAGCUAGUUGGUGAGGUAAAGGCUCACCAAGGCGACGAUCAGUAGCUGGUCUGAGAGGAUGAUCAGCCACAUUGGGACUGAGACACGGCCCAAACUCCUACGGGAGGCAGCAGUGGGGAAUAUUGGACAAUGGGCGCAAGCCUGAUCCAGCCAUGCCGCGUGAGUGAUGAAGGCCUUAGGGUUGUAAAGCUCAUUUGUCCGGGAAGAUAAUGACUGUACCGGAAGAAUAAGCCCCGGCUAACUUCGUGCCAGCAGCAGCCGCCGUAA